AGAGUUUGAUCAUGGCUCAGAAUGAACGCUGGCGGCGUGCCUAACACAUGCAAGUCGAGCGAGAAAGGUCUUCGAACUUAGUAAAGCGGCGGACGGGUGAGUAUCGCGUGGGAAUCUGCCUUUUAGUGAAGAAUACCUUCGAGAAAUCGAAGUUAAUGCUGCAUAAGUCCCGUAAGGGAGAAAGAUGGCCUCUUUGCUGUCGCUAGAAGAUGAGCCUGCGUACUAUUAGCUAGUUGGUAGGGUAAAGGCCUACCAAGGCUUUGAUGGUUAGCCGGCCUGAGAGGGUGUACGGCCACACUGGAACUGAGACACGGUCCUGACUCCUACGGGAGGCAGCAGUGGGGAAUAUUGCGCAAUGGGCGAAAGCCUGACGCAGCGACGCCGCGUGGAGGAUGAAGGCCUUCGGGUUGUAAACUUCUGUUAAGCGGGAAGAAAGCCCAAGUUUUAAUACAGCUUGGGGAUGACGGUACCGCUAGAGAAAGCACUGGCUAAUCUCGUGCUAGCCGCCGCGGUAAUAC
rnacentral:rRNA from 1 species